rnacentral:rRNA from 1 species
UACGUAGGUGGCGAGCGUUGUCGGAAUUACUGGGUGUAAAGCGCGUGUAGGCGGGAGGCCAAGUCUGUGGUGAAAUCGCUCGGCUUAACUGGGCGGGGUCCAUGGAAACUGGUCACCUGGAGGUCGGUAGAGGCAAGUGGAAUUCCCGGUGUAGUGGUGAAAUGCGUAGAGAUCGGGAGGAACACCAGUGGCGAAGGCGGCUUGCUGGGCCGGACCUGACGCUGAGAC